rnacentral:rRNA from 1 species
AGCAGCCGCGGUAAUUCCAGCUCCAAUAGCGUAUAUUAAAGUUGUUGCAGUUAAAAAGCUCGUAGUUGAAUUUCGGGGUCAGUAGGUUGGUCAUGCCUUUGGUAUGUACUGGUCUCACUGAUUCCUCCCUCUUGAAGAACUGUAAUGUCAUUAAUUUGGUGUUGCGGGGAAUCAGGACUGUUACUUUGAAAAAAAUUAGAGUGUUUAAAGCAGGCUUACGCUUGAAUACAUUAGCAUGGAAUAAUGAAAUAGGACGUUUGAUCCUAUUUUGUUGGUUUCUAGGAUUGACGUAAUGAUUAAUAGGGAUAGUUGGGGGCAUUAGUAUUCAAUUGUCAGAGGUGAAAUUCUUGGAUUUAUUGAAGACUAACUACUGCGAAAGCAUUUGCCAAGGAUGUUUUCAUUAAUCAAGAACGAAAGUUAGGGGAUCGAAGACGAUCAGAUACCGUCGUAGUCUUAACCAUAAACUAUGCCGACUAGGGAUCGGAUGAUGUUAAUUUUUUAAUGACUCAUUCGGCGCCUU